UGCAGAAAAAAAAGGAGGAGAGAAGGGGAAAGAAGCAUCUGAACGGCUAAAUUGUGCCAGCAGCGCUGAGAGCGAGAGUCACGAGACCUUGCUGCGGACGUGGUUGUCUGUCCUUCCCCCGGGGAUGCCGUUGACUGUGGCCGUCUCAGGCUCGCGUGGCUUCUCUCUGCCCGGCCUCGCCGUCCUUGCAGCGCGGGGCUCAAAAGGGAUAGACAAAGCCCUUCCCGGCUGUGGACAGGACCUGCCUCGGCUGAAGCUGGAGACACCAACGAAAGGUAAAGAAGAAGAAACUGAAGGCGCUCUGGCUGCCAGCUGCCUUCCUGCCGCAGGCAAGAGAGAGCCUGUCCCUGCAGGUGAGGGAGGAAGGAUCCCCCUUCGUAGCCCGCAGCGGGCCAGGCCACCGACGUGCACCGCAGGGUGGAGGAUGGCCUAGAGUCUGGAGCUGCAGAAGAGGCAGGGAGGAGAGAAGGGGAAACAAGCAUCUGAACGGCUAAAUUGUGCCAGCAGCGCUGAGAGCGAGAGUCACGGUGGAGGAUGGCCUAGAGUCUGGAGCUGCAGAAGAGGCAGGGAGGAGAGAAGGGGAAACAAGCAUCUGAACGGCUAAAUUGUGCCAGCAGCGCUGAGAGCGAGAGUCACGGUGAGUCCUGGGCCACUGGGGCCCCAUUGCCUCUCUUGUGCAUCCUGGGCCCUCCCUGUCUCUCCCCUGGCCCCCUCUCUUUCCUUACCUGCUGCAAAAUUUUUUUUUUUGCGCUCCCCCCCCCCGCACCGUCUUUCUCCAUCUCGCUCUGAGUGGCUCCCUGCCUCCCUGUCUUUUCAGUCCUCCCUCUCUCUGUCCUGUAGCCUGUGGCUACUUUUUC